CUCUAGUGUUGGUCCAAUGCAUCCCCUGUCCAACGUCACCCAUUGUUUCCGUGAGGAUUCCGAAUGCCAGUCUAAAAUGCGUUGUAGUACAACAGCUUGGUGAUAUUUCUUAAUGUCUGGCAUCGCUAAACCCCCAUAGUGUCUGGGCCGACAGAGGAUAUCAUGCCGUAUUUUGGAGCGUUCACCUCGCCACACAAAUCUAAUGACUGCUGUUUUCAGACAGGAGAAG